rnacentral:pre_miRNA from 1 species
AACGUACCUGGGCCUGGUAACUCCACCACCGUUGGCGGUUGUCAUUAGUCAACGGAGGCAGUGUUCCCGCUCCUAGGUGCGAG